CAUGAUGUUACAAAGCCAUGCGUGACACCAUGCCAGCACAAGAGGACACAAGGCCCCACGGUUACACUAUGCCAGGCUGUGAGAUCACAAGGCCCUGCUCUGAUUCUCUUCUAGGCCAUGAUUUUAAAAAGGAUUUGUAUGGUUUAACCCCAGACAUGCACACCCUGACAUCAGCUCAGCGUGACCCUGGAUGUGAAGCCACAGCCCAUCAUGUGAG